GUAUAUGCAUAUGAUGUUAUAUUUUGAUUUAAAAUUAUAUGUAUAUGUGUGUAAAUAUAUAUUCGGAUAUAUAAUGAUAUUAUGUCUUUGAAUUGAUUGACACUUUGAAUAUAUAUACAUAUACAUUCGGUUAAGAUAAGAUUUACUUAAGAAAACACAUGUUUUAUAUGAAACGUUAAGCUUGAGGUUAAAUGUGAUUAUGCUAGUAUAAUUUAAUUUGGUUAAAAAAUGAGUUGAUAAUGUAGUUUAUAUUCGGUCAAAAUUUGAUAUGUAAUAAUGAGGUUAAAAAAAUGAGAGUUGCACAUGUGAACGACAUUAUAUAUAUAUUUGGUCAAAUGUUAAACUUAUGUGUAUUCGGUUAAAAAUGGAUUUGAUGUAUAGUACGUGUUUGAUAAAUGUAUUUUUCGAUUAUGGAAAUGUAUAUGAAUAUUUGAAAACAUGAUUUGAUUUUGUUGUAACUAAUUAAAUGUUGUUAAGUUAUCUAUUUGCUUAUGACUUACUAAGCUGUAAUUGCUUACUCUGUGUGUUUUUCUUAUGUUUUUAGAGUUCCAAAGACUUGCUCGGGUUGGAAGAUGUUGGAGUCGUGAUCACACUAUCCGGUUAUGGCUUCGGUAAAUUAAAGCUUUGAGUUUUUGGUUAUGUGGCAUGUAUAGGCUAGUUUUAAUUUAAUUUUUGUAUAUAUAUUUAGCCAUGCGAAAAUGGCUUGAUCUAAUGCUAAUGAUCCAAGGUUUAAGUAAUUUUGGUCAUAGUAAAGGCGUGG
rnacentral:lncRNA from 1 species